AAUGGCCGCGGUACUUUGACCGUGCUAAGGUAGCGCAAUCAAUUGGCUUUUAAUUGGGGUCAGGAAUGAAUGGAGUCACGUAAUUUAGCUGUCUCUAUAAUUAAUUAUUUGAAGUUACUAUGUAGGUGAAAAAGCCUAUAUAAUGAAAAAAGACGAGAAGACCCUUAGAGUUUUACUUAAAUUAAAUUAUGAGUAUUUAUAUUUAUAAGAGUUUGGUUGGGGCAACAUAAGAACAGUUGUAAACUUCUACAAUUAAACAAACCGAUGAUUUAUAAAUUUGAAUAAACUACCUGAGGGAUAACAGCAUUAUAUUAUAAAUAAGUUUGUGACCUCGAUGUUGGACUGGGAAACUAAAAGGCUAGCCGUUUUUUAGGAAAGUUCUGUUCGAACUAUAAUUCCCACAUGAUCUGAGUU
rnacentral:rRNA from 1 species